rnacentral:tRNA from 1 species
UUUUUAAAUUAAUUAAUUAGAUUAAUAAUCAAUGAGUUUGAAUAAGCAUAU